UGUGUAAACAGACAAUUUUGUUAGAACAGAUCGUUAAACACAUACGCCCAACUAGCAAGGAUCUCAAAAUUUUUCCAAUAAAUUCACUAGAGGAAUUAAAUUCGGCAGAACAAUUAGUUAAUAACGAGCCUGAAUCAGAAGUGAUAUCAUAUAUGAAACUAAAAUUUGGCAAAGACAAAAUAGAAAAGGCGUUACAUGCAAUGAUUGGUGACAAUAUUUUGCUUCGGGUAAAUUGGGAUGGAGCUAAAAAUAAGACAGCCAUAAACAAAUAUCGGUUGUUUAACUUUUUUUAUUUCGAAUCACUCAGAGACACCUACGAAACUUAUCCUGAAUUUGAAAAAUCUUUUAAGUUGGCCUUUCGCAAAUGUAAGGCAACAUUUUACCGGCAAACCUACAGCCUAAAAUCUAAAUAAAUAAAGUAUUUAAUAUGUUUUUUUAAUUAUAAGAAAUUAUAGUACAAAAAUGAA